GGAAGAGUGGCAGAGUGGUUGAAUGCAACGGUCUUGAAAACCGUCGUGGGUUUACGCCCACCGUGGGUUCGAAUCCCACCUCUUCCGCCA
rnacentral:tRNA from 1 species